UGAAAGUUCUUAGUCUAAAUUUAUGAGGAAGCUGCAACAGAAUCACAAACUAGACUUCAAAAGGAAGAGUAUGUUCGAGUCUAUAAUUACUUUUUUUUUACCUUAUUUUAACAUGUGAUUGGUUUGACUUUUUGUUCAAUUAUCUCUCGAAUUGGACGAUGAGAGUUUGUUAGACCAAUUCAUGUGAAAUGUGUCUUUUGAAAAAUGGGUUGUGCUCUUGCACCUUAAGUCCAACGAUUUCUUUAUUUUUGAUAUCCAAAUAUUCUUAAGAAAGUAGGUUGAUGUAAACAUCCAUUUCAGUUUAUGAUCUCUAGAAGAUGUUUCAUGUAACCCUCACAUUUUACACUCUACUGUGUUCAAAUUUCCAUGACUUUUAUGAAAUUGAUAUGUUGAAGGAAGAGUUUGGUAAGUUUCUACUUAGAUAAUACAUGUACGGAUGGAGAAAGGUUUCUGUGCAACCCUAGAAAUUUGACAAAAUAAUUCUCACCUGUAGGUGAAAUUUUAAUUUAAGUUGCAAUAACAUUGUAGAAAUUUUAUUUUCUCUAUGUUUUCCUUAUUUUAUUCUUUAGGAUAUAUUUCUGAUUGAAUAAUGGAAGCAUCUAUAUCUAGGGACUAUGGAUGUUGGAGCUAUUAGCACUUUAAAAGAGGCAAUAUGGAAAUUGGAUAUGGAGAGACUUCUAUCUAUAAGAGACUAUUAUAGAUUUUGUACUGUUAAUACAAUAAUCUCCAUCUGGGGAUCUUAUGAAGUAUUGGAAAUACAGUGAGCGGCAUAUAUUUCUUAAAAGCUUCCCUAAUUUGAAGAAGCUUGAUUCCAUCACUACAAGAAAAUUUCAAUUUAACUACGGAAAAAUUCCGUAGCAAAUGAUGUAAUUCCGUAGCUAAACAUAAAUAAUUACGGAAGUUGCUACGUAAUUUGUCAAUGAGAUUCCAUAGUAAAAUUUCUUGUAGCAAAAUGUUUAACUACGAAAUUAUAGUUCUGUAGCAAUUUUGCUAUGGCUAUUGCUACGAUGUCUAUCCGUAUCAUUUCAACUACAACACACUUCCAUAACAAUUCCGUAACAAUGAAUUUUGUAGCAAAUUCCGUAUCUAUUUUGUUCCGUAGCAAAUUCCGUAGCCAUUUGGUCCAUAG
rnacentral:lncRNA from 1 species